rnacentral:rRNA from 1 species
AGUGAACGCUGGCGGUAGGCCUAACACGUGCAAGUCGAACGGCAGCACAGUAAGAGCUUGCUCUUACGGGUGGCGAGUGGCGGACGGGUGAGGAAUACAUCGGAAUCUACUUUUUCGUGGGGGAUAACGUAGGGAAACUUACGCUAAUACCGCAUACGACCUACGGGUGAAAGCAGGGGAUCUUCGGACCUUGCGCGAUUGAAUGAGCCGAUGUCGGAUUAGCUAGUUGGCGGGGUAAAGGCCCACCAAGGCGACGAUCCGUAGCUGGUCUGAGAGGAUGAUCGGCCACACUGGAACUGAGACACGGUCCAGACUCCUACGGGAGGCAGCAGUGGGGAAUAUUGGACAAUGGGCGCAAGCCUGAUCCAGCCAUACCGCGUGGGUGAAGAAGGCCUUCGGGUUGUAAAGCCCUUUUGUUGGGAAAGAAAAGCAGCAGGUUAAUACCCCGCUGUUCUGACGGUACCCAAAGAAUAAGCACCGGCUAACUUCGUG